GCCGGGCAUAGUGGCGGGUGCCUGUAAUCCCAGCUACACCUCAGGAGGCUGAGGCAGAAUAAUUGCUUGAACCCGGGAGGUGGAGGUUGCAGUGAGCCGAGAUUGCGCCACUGCACUCCAGCCCGGGUGUCAGAGCAAGACUCUGUCUCAG
rnacentral:SRP_RNA from 1 species